UGGGACACGGGUUGGGACACGGGCUGGGACACGGGCGGGACGGGAGCGGAGCGGUGCCAGGCGCCCCAGCCCAGCGGCCCCGCACCUGUCCCGCACCUGUCCCGUAUGCGCGGCUCCCGGAGCGGCGCCGCGGCUGCGGAGCCCUGAGCGGAGCCGAGCCCUCCCCGCCGCCCCGGGGUUGUCGCCGGGCCAUGGCCGCGGCGGGGACAGAGCUGCCCGGCGGCAACGCCAGCGCCAACCAGAGCGCCGCCGACCCCACGGUGUCGCGGGACGUGUGGGUGGUGGGCAUGGGCAUCCUGAUGUCCCUCAUCGUGCUGGCCAUCGUCUUCGGCAACGUGCUGGUGAUCACGGCCAUCGCCCGCUUCCAGCGCCUGCAGACUGUCACCAACUACUUCAUCACCUCGCUGGCCUGUGCCGACCUGGUCAUGGGGCUGGCCGUGGUGCCCUUCGGCGCCUGCCACAUCAUCAUGGAGAUGUGGAAGUUUGGGAACUUCUGGUGCGAGUUCUGGACCUCUCUGGACGUGCUGUGCGUCACGGCCAGCAUCGAGACCCUGUGCGUCAUCGCCGUGGACCGGUACUUCGCCAUCACCUCCCCGUUCAAGUACCAGAGCCUGCUGACCAAGGGCAAAGCGCGCGUGGUCAUCCUGGUGGUGUGGGUGGUGUCGGGCCUGACCUCCUUCCUGCCCAUCCAGAUGCACUGGUACCGGGCAGACCACGAGGAUGCCAUCCGCUGCUACCAGGACGAGAUGUGCUGCGACUUCUUCACCAACCAAGCCUACGCCAUCGCCUCCUCCAUCAUCUCCUUCUACCUGCCCCUCGUCGUCAUGGUCUUCGUGUACGCCAGGGUCUUCCAGGUGGCCAAGAAGCAGCUGCAGAAGAUAGACAGGAGCGAGGGGAGGUUUCACACCCAGAACAAGGAGCAGGAGCAGAAAGGGGGAGCCGGGCACCGCCGCUCCUCCAAGUUCUUCUUGAAGGAGCACAAAGCCCUCAAAACCCUGGGCAUCAUCAUGGGCACCUUCACGCUGUGCUGGCUGCCCUUCUUCAUCGUCAACAUCGUGCACGUCAUCCAGGACAACAUCAUUCCCAAGUACCUGUACAUCCUCCUGAACUGGCUGGGCUACGUCAACUCUGCCUUCAACCCCCUGAUCUACUGCCGCAGCCCUGACUUCAGGUACGCCUUCCAGGAGCUGCUGUGCCUGCGCAGGUCUGCCCUGAAGAUGUACGCCAACGGCUACUCCAACAGCAACGGCAGGAGCGACUACAACGAGGAGGACAACGGCUACCCCCUGGCCCCGGAUAAAACCUGCGACUUGCUCUGCGAGGAGGGCUCCUUCCCUCGCCCCGAGGACUUUUUGCACGGCAAAGGGAGCUGGGAGCGGGGCUGGACCCCCCUGCACCGUGGGACUGCUCCCGGUCCCCUUCUCACAACCCCGCCGGUGGCUGUGGGAGCCCUCCAGCCCAGGAGGGCACCUGGGGCGGGGGUGGCAGGAUUGUCCAGCCCGGGGCACUUUGCAGAGGUGGCAAAACUCCUGAAUUUGAUCUGCGACAAACCGGCGGGGAAGGGAUGCAGGCAGCGGGGCGGGCUCGGGGCUGCCGGCUCUGGGACAGUUUGAUCACCGCCCAGAAACUGCGAAUGCUCUCUGGGGUUUUGUUUUACCAAGUGUUACAGGACUUUCUGUAGGGGAAAACCCCCAAAAGCAGUGAUAGAAAUAAACGGAGCGUUUGCCUAGAAUGUGAGCCUGUGACUGUGGCACUCAGGAAUGUGGCACUGGGAAGUCGGGUGACACGCGGCUACAAUCACAGCCCAGCCAAAAGCUCGUAAAGCGCCCGGUUUGUUUAGCUGCAAGGCUCAGAUGACAGCGAGCCCGGGGAGGAGGGACGGGAGAAGAUUUGGAUUUUCCAUGGCACCUUGGAAGCGCCGCUCAGACCGCGGGACGGCUGCAGAGAUCCCUGGAUGUCCAGGAAUGGUGGAGAGCUGAAUGAGCCAGCCUCUGUUCCUCACCACCCUGAGCUCGUGAGGGCUCUGCAGAGAUGGAGUGGGAGCACGGCCUCGCUUCCCUGAGCCAGGGCACGCUGUGGGAAGUGACUGCCCUGGCUAAGGUCCUCAUCCCAACCCAUCACCCACCACGCAGCACCUCCAGGAGAAGCCGGGCAAGGACAACCAAGGGACCAGGAGAGGCUCUGAGAGCCUUGGAGGACACCAGGAAGCCACAGGAACUGAAGGAGGGGAUGUCCAAAGCAUGACAAAUGGUGCCGAGGGUUUUUUUCCCUUGGAAAAGCCUUUCCAAAAGGGAGCAGCAGGGUCUCCAGCUGGUUUUGGAAGAGGCACAGCCAGGUCAGGAGCCCAGCAGGACGUGCUGAUGGCAGCCUGUCCACCUGCUGGGUGGGGAUCCAGGGGAAACAAGAAUCUGUCCAAGACCAAGAGAGAGGAGCGUGGAAGAUUCCUCUGAUUUAUUCUGUGCUUGUUUCUCCUUCUGGUGUCUUCUCUGUCUACCUCUUCUCCUCUAGAGAGCACGGGGGCCCUGAGUGUCACCAAGGAGCAGAAGGAUUGGCACAGGGCAGGAAUGGGGCCUUUGUUCUCUCCUUGCUCCAAAAAAAUCUCCAACUGUCCUGCCUUGGAAAGGCUGGGACCUGGCAAUCCUUUUCCUUGCAGGAAGUCACAUUUCAGCAGGACCAGCCACCCUUGGGAGCCAAGAUUUCCCACCUGAGGCUCAGAACAUGGCAGGACAUCCAUCCCUCUCCUGCAGCUGUGGGAAGGAGCAAACCGAGCUCCUGACUUUGGAUUGUGGAAAACUCACUGAGCAGAGAAAGAGAUGGAGGGACUUGUGGCCUCAGGCAGAAAACAGCAGGAAAAACUGGCUGAAAACCAUAAAAAACCUUGAAGUGGCAGGUGCUGGCCCAGCUGCAGCUCUGUGGUCACUGAGCUGCUCCCAGACCUGGGCAGGACGUGCUGGUACUGAACUGUGGGAGCCCCAUCUCAGACCUUCCCUCUCGGGCUUCCAGCUGCAGAACCUUUUCCCUCCAGUGCAAUCCUAUUUAUUUAUUUAUUAUCUCGCUGCUUGAUGUGAAGCUGCUAAAGGAGCCCCCUCCCCACAAACAGCCAGCCUGUGUGAGGGCACUGAGCAGAGGGGCAGGACACAGGGACAACUCCUGGUGCAGGUGUCCUGCUGUGCUGGGGGGGUUGGACUUGGUGGGUUUUGAGGUUCUUUCCAAGCAAACCCACCCUGUGGUUCAGUAAGAUCUGAAAAGGAUGUCCCAUCCCUGGAGGUGUCCAAGGAUGGGUGGAUGGAGCUCUGAGCACCCUGGAGUGGUGGAAGGUGUCCCUGCCCAUGGCAAGGGGUGGAGCUGGGUGAGCUUUAAGGUCCUUCCACUCUAGGAUUCAAUGGACAGGGGUUGGGCACACAAGGGAAGAAGAAAACUGAGACCAGGAAUGCUGGUCUCAAUGCAAUUUGGAUCUUUCAAGGACUAAGAGCAUUUCAUUCCCACCCCAGCUGGAAAUAAAUCUUCAGCUGGGCAGAGCUUUGCUGGGAAGGACAGAGGCUGCAGGAGCUCAGCAGUGCCCCUCUAUCCUGACUUUCUUUGUGCAGGGCCAUGAGAAUUGCUCACCUGGGGGGCUCUCAGGUGCCCUGCUGCUCUCCCACAGCUUUCAGGAUACCCUGAAAUCCCUUGGCACAGCUCCCAGCUGCCCUAGGAGAAUCUGAUUUGUCCCUUCCCUCUGAAGAGCCCUGCCAAGGCUUAGUCCAAACCUGCUGAAGGAAGAUAUUUCCCACCCAAAACCUGUUCCUCAGAAGACUCCUGGCUGGCUCCAGUCCCUUAUUCUGUACUGGAAACAUAGUCCUUGGUCUGUUUGCAGGUUAGGGACAUGCCUGGGGUUGUGGCAGUUCUCUUUCUCCCCAGUCCCUGAUGUGCCAGAGCAGGUACAGGAGAGGAAGGGAUGAACUUCAAUCAUUUGCCAGCCCAAAGGCAGGGACCUGCCUUACAGAGCUGUCCAAAUCCAUCUGCCUGCCCCUUCAGGCUUGCUCCAGGGAUUCCAUCCUCUGCUGGAUCUAUUUCUGAGUGCCCUGACCCCGGGGUUAUUGUGCUGUCCCCUGGGAGGUGGCUCCGUGCUCCACAGCAGGAGCUGCUGGGAGUUUCCCACCUGCGUUUGCUCCUGGAAACUUCAUUCCAUUUCCCCUCGUGCUGCUCCUCAAGCACCUGCUGUUCAUGUUCUCCUGCCACCUCACCAGGGCUCCUCUUCCCCUUCCAAGACCCUCCCUGGCUCCCUGAUUGCUGCUGUUCCCUGUGCUGAGCUGGUCAUUAAUGAGAAUCCAAACCCAGCCCUGGAGCAGCCCCUGGCAGUGCCCAGCUGCUGUGCCAGGUCAUUAAAAUGAGAAUCCAAACCCUGGCAGUGCCCAGCUGCUGUGCCAGGUCAUUAAAAUGAGAAUCCAAACCCUGGCAGUGCCCAGCUGCUGUUCCAGGUCAUUAAUGAGAAUCCAAACCCUGGCAGUGCCCAGCUGCUGUGCCAGGUCAUUAAAAUGAGAAUCCAAACCCUGGCAGUGCCCAGCUGCUGCUCCCUCCCUCGUUUGGGGUGCAGGGAAGGGGCAAACGGAGCCAAAAGGGAUCAGUGUUGACACUGAGCACUCGUAUCCCAAAAUAUCAGGAAGAAAUCCUUCCCUGUGAGGGUGGGGAGGCCCUGGAAUGGAUUUCCCAGAAAAGCUGUGGCUGCCCCAUCCCUGGAAGUGCCCAAGGCCAGGUUGAACAGGGCUUGGAGCCACAUGGGAUAGUGGAAAGUGUCCCUGCCCAUGGCAGGGGUGGGAAUUAAAUGAUCUUUAAUGAAUUAAACAAUCUUUAAUGAAUUAAAUUAUCUUUAAUGUCCCUCCCAACCAAAACCAUUCCAGGACUCUGUGAUCCCAUGGGGAGCAAUCCCUGGUAGGGACAAGUGCUGGGCCAAGGCCCAGCUCAGCAAAGCCCAGCCUGAGCUCUGGCAGUGGGGAUGCUCCAGUUUUCCCACUGGGAAUGGGAACUGUGCUCUGCCCUGCCUGGGAAUGCCCUCCACGGGCUGGAGCUGCAGCCCUGCAUGGCAGGAGAGCUGCAGGGGCUGGGGGCACACGGGGGGCUGCCCUGGGGAGCUCUGGGUGCAGCUGGAGGCUCCCAGCUCUGCUCCUGUCACCGAACAAACUGUUCCCACUAAUAAAGAAUGGAAAGUGCU